UACGUAGGGCGCAAGCGUUGUCCGGAAUUAUUGGGCGUAAAGAGCUCGUAGGCGGUCUGUCGCGUCUGCUGUGAAAACUCGGGGCUUAACUCCGGGCCUGCAGUGGGUACGGGCAGACUAGAGUGCGGUAGGGGAGACUGGAAUUCCUGGUGUAGCGGUGAAAUGCGCAGAUAUCAGGAGGAACACCGGUGGCGAAGGCGGGUCUCUGGGCCGAUACUGACGCUGAGGAGCGAAAGCGUGGGGAGCGAACAGG
rnacentral:rRNA from 1 species